rnacentral:misc_RNA from 1 species
GUAGGUGAACCUGCGGAAGGAUCAUUACAAAAGUUUUGCUUCUAGCAAAAGUCUUUUUUACAAAAAGAUCACACCUUGUCUAAUCGUUUCAUGUCUCUGGUAGUUUAGCGUUAUACUGGCCAAGUGCCCAGCUUUAGCGCGUCCUGUUGCUCAUUUUAGGGCAUUAGGGGGCUACCGCCGGGGAAACCUGGAUCUUUUAACACUUAAGUCUAUUUUUACUGACUGAAGUUUAUUAUCUAUGAUAAUGAAUUACAACUUUUGGCAACGGAUCUCUUGGCUCUC